UACGAAGGGGGCUAGCGUUGUUCGGAUUUACUGGGCGUAAAGCGCACGUAGGCGGAUCGUUAAGUCGGGGUGAAAUCCUGGAGCUCAACUCCAGAACUGCCUUCGAUACUGGCGAUCUUGAGUCCGGAAGAGGUGAGUGGAACUCCCUAGUGUAGAGGUGGAAUUCGUAGAUAUUAGGAAGAACACCAGUGGCGAAAGGCGGCCUCCACUGGUCCGGUACUGACGCUGAGGUGCGAAAGCGUGGGGAGCAAACAGG
rnacentral:rRNA from 1 species